UCUGUAUGGACUGACAGCACAGAGACCCACAUCGGUGUGUAUGGAAUGACAGCACAGAGACACUGAUGUCAGUCUGUAUGGACUGAUAGCACAGGGACCCACAUCGGCCUGUAUGGACUGACAGCACAGAGACAGCAACGUCAGUCUGUAUGGACUGAUAGCACAGAGAUCAACAGUGGUCUGUAUGGACUGACAUAACAGCAUGAUAACACCAACAUUGGUCUGUAUGGACUGACAGCACAGAGUCCCACAUUGCUCUGUAUGGACUGACUGCACAGAGACCCACUUCGGUGUCUAUGGACUGACAGCACAGAGACACCAACGUCGGUCUGUACUGACUGACUGCACAGAGACCCACAUUGGUGUAUAUGGACUGAUAGCACAGAGACCCACAUCGGUCUGUAUGGACUGACAGCACAGAGACACCGAUGUCAGUCUGUAUGGACUGACAGCACAGAGAUCAACAGUGGUCUGUAUGGACUGACAGCACAGGGACCCACAUCGGCCUGUAUGGACUGACAGCACAGAGACCAACAUUGCUCUGUAUGGACUGACAGCACAGAGACCCACAUCGGCCUGUAUGGACUGACUGCACAGAGACAGCAACAUCGGUUUAUAUAGACUGACUGCACAGAGACCCACAUCGGUGUGUACAGACUGAUAGCACAGAGACACCAACGUCAGUCUGUAUUGGUGUGUAUGGACUGACAGCACAGAGACCCACAUUGGUGUGUAUGGACUGACAGCACAGAGAUCAACAGUGGUCUGUAUGGACUGACAGCACAGAGACCCACUUCGGUGUGUAUGGACUGAUAGCACAGAGACACCAAUGUCAGUCUGUAUGGACUGACAGCACAGAGACCAACAUUGUUCUGUAUGGACUGACUGCACAGAGACCCACAUCGGUCUGUAUGGACUGAUGUAACAGCAUGAUAACACCAACAUUGGCCUGUAUGGACUGACAUAACAGCAUGAUAACACCAACAUUGGUCUGUAUGGACUGACAGCACAGGGACACCAACGUUGGUCUGUACCCACUGAUAGAACACCAUAAUAACACCAACAUCAGUGUGUAUGGACUGACAGCACAGAGACCAACAUUGGUCUGUAUGGACUGAUAGCACAGAGAUCAACAUUGCUCUGUAUGGACUGACAUAACAGCAUAACACCAACAUUGGAGUGUAUGGACUGACUGCACAGGGACCCACAUCGGCCUGUAUGGACUGACAGCACAGAGAUCAACAGUGGUCUGUAUGGACUGACUGCACAGAGACCCACAUCGGUCUGUAUGGACUGAUGUAACAGCAUGAUAACACCAACAUUGGCCUGUAUGGACUGACAGCACAGAGACACCGAUGUCAGUCUGUAUGGACUGAUAGCACAGAGACCAACAGUGGUCUGUAUGGACUGACAUAACAGCAUAACACCAACAUUGGAGUGUAUGGACUGACUGCACAGGGACCCACUUCGGCCUGUAUGGACUGACAGCACAGAGACAGCAACGUCGGUCUGUAUGGACUGACAGCACAGAGAUCAACAGUGGUCUGUAUGGACUGACUGCACAGAGACCCACAUCGGUGUGUACAGACUGAUAGCACAGAGACACCAACGUCAGUCUGUAUUGGUGUGUAUGGACUGACAGCACAGAGACCAGCAUUGGUGUGUAUGGACUGACAUAACAGUGUGAUAACACCAAUGUCAGUCUGUACCCACUGAUAUAACAUCAUAAUAACACCAACAUCAGUGUGUAUGGACUGAUAUAACGCUGUGAUAACACCAAUGUCAGUCUGUGCCCAUUGAUAUAACACCGUGAUAACACCAACAUCAGUGUGUAUGGACUGAUAUAACGCUGUGAUAACACCAAUGUCAGUCUGUACCCACUGAUAUAACAUCAUAACACCAACAUCAGUGUGUAUGGACUGCUAUAAUGCUGUGAUAACACCAGUGUCAGUCUGUGCCCAUUGAUAUAACACCGUGAUAACACCAACAUCAGUGUGUAUGGACUGAUAUAACACCGUGAUACCACCAACGUCAGUCUGUAUGGACUGACAGCACAGAGACACCGACGUUGGUCUGUAAGGACUGACGUAACAGCAUGAAAGCACCAACAUCAGUCUGUUCUGACUGACAUAACACCACGAGGACACCAACAUCAGUCUGUUCCGACUGACACAACAGCAUGGCAGCACCAAUAUCGGCCUGUAUGGACUGCUGUAACACUGUGAUGGCCCCAAUGUCAGCCUGUUCUGACUGACAUAACACCGUGAUGACCCCAAUGUCAGCCUGUUCCGACUGACAUAACACCAUGAGGACCCCAAUGUCAGCCUGGUCCAACUGACACCCCAUGGCAGCACCAACACCAGGCUGUACUGACUGACAUAACACCAUGAGGACAGCAGCAUCAGGCUGUAUUGACUGACAUAACAGCAUGGCAGCACCAAUAUCGGCCUGUAUGGACUGUUGUAACACUGUGAUGGCCCCAAUGUCAGCCUGUACUGCCUGAUAUAACACCACGAUAACACUGACAUCAGCCUGUACUGCCUGAUAUAACACCAUAGCACUGACAUCAGCCUGUACUGCCUGAUAUAACACUGUGAUAACACUGACAUCAGCCUGUACUGCCUGAUAUAACACCGUGAUAACACUGACAUCAGCCUGUACUGCCUGAUAUAACACCGUGAUAACACUGACAUCAGCCUGUACUGCCUGAUAUAACACUGUGAUAACACUGACAUCAGCCUGUACUGCCUGAUAUAACACCAUAGCACUGACAUCAGCCUGUACUGCCUGAUAUAACACCACAAUAACACUGACAUCAGCCUGUACUGCCUGAUAUAACACUGUGAUAACACUGACAUCAGCCUGUACUGCCUGAUAUAACACCACAAUAACACUGACAUCAGCCUGUACUGCCUGAUAUAACACCAUAGCACUGACAUCAGCCUGUACUGCCUGAUAUAACACCACGAUAACACUGACAUCAGCCUGUACUGCCUGAUAUAACACCAUGAUAACACUGACAUCAGCCUGUACUGCCUGAUAUAACACUGUGAUAACACUGACAUCAGCCUGUACUGCCUGAUAUAACACC
rnacentral:lncRNA from 1 species